UACGAGGGGGGCAAGCGUUGUUCGGAAUCACUGGGCGUAAAGGGUGCGUAGGCGGGUCUUUAAGUCAGGGGUGAAAUCCUGGAGCUCAACUCCAGAACUGCCUUUGAUACUGAGGAUCUUGAGUUCGGGAGAGGUGAGUGGAACUGCGAGUGUAGAGGUGAAAUUCGUAGAUAUUCGCAAGAACACCAGUGGCGAAGGCGGCUCACUGGCCCGAUACUGACGCUGAGGCACGAAAGCGUGGGGAGCAAACAGG
rnacentral:rRNA from 1 species